rfam:Oryza glumipatula chromosome 11, whole genome shotgun sequence.
AAUAAGUGCAGUUUUACACUAUUCACGUUCAACGUUUGACCGUUCGUCUUAUUUGAAAAUUUUUUAUGAUUAGUAUUUUUAUUGCUAUUAGAUGAUAAAACAUGAACAAUACUCUAUGUGUGACUAAAUAUUUUCAAAUUUUUCACAAAUUUUUUAAAUAAAGCGGACGGUCAAACGUUGGACACGGAUAUCCACGGCUGCACUUAUU